UAAGAUAAUCUGAGAACCAAGAUCAACCUUCUCUAGAGCUACCCUGAGGGUUCCAGGAUGGGGUGCCUGGAUUUCAUGGAUUUUGCAGCAAAGGCUACUUUACUUACUACAUCUUCCUUCUGAGUGUACCGGUUUCCUCCCAUCGCUGGCAAGGGUGAGAGGAGGGUAGCCAUCCACCCAGGACUGGGAGGUAGGACUGAGGCCAGCAGAGACACAACACUGGAGGGGAAGAUCAGAAUGUCAGCGGGACAUCCCUGAGCAGCACCGCAGCGCAGAUGUGCACAGAUGAGGCAGGAGGACGGCAGGUGGAGUAAGCUCUCUGAUGAUGUCACUCAUAAGAGCAAGCCACGAGCCAGGUUGGCGACAUAGCUCAAGGGGUAGAGUGCUCACGGAGGAGCGCAGCGAAGACCCUGGGUUCUUCCAUGCCCAGCACCGUAUAAUCCAGGUAUGAUGAUAUCAGCCUCUAAUUCUAGCCCCAGGAGUUAGAGCGGAAGAAUCAAAAGUUCAAGUUCUCCUCGGUUACAAGCCUAGUUUAAGGGCAGCCUGGGAUGCUUGAGACCCUGUUUCAAAAACAGCCAUGCAUGGUUGGCACAAGCCUCUGAUCUCCCACUCCGAAGUGGAGGCAAACAGAUCUCUGCUUUGUGCUUCGUGAGUUCUAGGCCAGCUAGA